GAAUUUUGCGAUAGCAUUGGAAAUGUAAAUGAAAUAAAUACCUAAUUAAAAAAACAAAAUAAAAAAAAAAAAGAUAAAAUUAAGAAAAAAAAAAGAGAGAGAGAGAGAGAAUCUCAUACAACCUAGUCCUUUUCUUCCAUAGAGACCUCAGAAAGAGAAACAUGAACAUGCUGCCUCAAAGUGUUAUGUGGACCUGGGCUUUUAAUUUUAUUUUUUGAAGACAGGAGCUUAGCACAACUAUUCUCUGAGAGGCUCUACACAGCAGCUGACUGAAACAAAUGCAGAUGCCAGUGUGGUUUUACAUACUCUUGUCAGUUGUUCUUUGCGUUUUGACAGGUUUUGGAAUUUUUUCAUGGUCUCUGUCUGCUUUACAACUAAGCUACCAUUCUGAGGAAUACUUAUAUCUUCAAGCAUAAGAGUGUAUCAUUAAGAGUGUCAGAGAUCAGCUGGGCAUGGUAGUGCACACCUUUAAUCCCAGCACUCAGGAGGCAUAGGCACGCAGAUUUCUGAGUCAAGGCCGGCCUUGUCUACAAAGUGAGUUCCAGGACACCCAAGACUAUACAGAGAAACCCUGUCUCGAAAAACAAAAACAAAAAAAACCAACCAACCAACCAAACAAACAAACAAAAAAUGAGUGUCAGAGAUUGGUACUUGCCGAUGGGAUGGGUCUCAAUUUGGACAAGUUAAUGGUUGAUGAUUCCUCCAGUCCCUGAAUUUCUUUUAGACAGGACAAAUUGUGGGUGGAAAGUUUUCUGGAUAGGUUGGUUUCCUUACCUUUCCACUGUGGCUCUUACCUAGCUACAGGAGGUGUCCUCCUCUGGUUCCAUGUCCCUAGUAUUAGGCAUAUUGGUUAUGGUUACCUGCACUGACUCUUAGGAGCCUCCCUCAUCAAAAUGUCUGUUUGUAGGCAUUAACACUUAUAGCAGAGUUAGAAAUUUUAUUUUUUCAGACAAUUAGCAGAAAUAGUUUCUUCUCUAGGGUCUAUGACUUCACAAACCAUGAGUACUUGUCUAGGUUUAUAGUAGCUGACAUGAAGUCUCUCUUUAUCUAUGAUAUAGGUCUGCAAUACUCAUAAUAAAUGUUGUGUAAAAUUCAGGUGUGCUUUUGUUCUUAGAAAACAGUAACACCCUUAUAGGGGAUAAGAUUCAGAGAACUGUAACACUUCAAACAGUAGGAAAAUCACUGAGUUUACCUAGAACCUUUGUGUCCUUUGUAAAUUUUACAAUGAUAUGCUAUUGAGUAGAACUACUACAGGCAUUAGUGACACAAAGACUAAAUAGCAUCCUAGUAAGAAGUUCUAAAGCCAACUUUACUCGGAAGUAGAUUGUGGGACAUUAGACAGCCUGGUUUCCUGUAAAGGCUAGAUCUUGAACCCCCAGAGAACCCAAUGUGUGGUAAUUCCCACCUACAUGGGACAGUAGGCAUUUGACCAUGUCUCCUGGACUCAAGGCUCCUGUCGUAGUUACUGCCCCCACAGGAGAAGUAUGGCUGGUAGUCAUGUAGACAAUGUCCCAAGUUUCUGACUUUCAGGCUACACUCCUCCCCAGUUACCUAGAAACAGGAAAGAUAACAGCACACCAUAAGAGGGGGUGAUUGGCCCCACCUCACUGUCUUACUCCCCUUACUCUUGCUCUCUCCUCUCACUCUCUUUCUGUCCUCUCUCCUCAUUCUUUCUUACUCUCACCCUCUUACUCUAGCCUUUCUUCUCUCUUUCUCUUUCCCCUUUCUCUCCUCUUGGCCAUGGCUUCUCUCUCUUCUCUCUCUCUCUCUCUCUCUCUCUCUCUCUCUCUCUCUCUCUCUCUCUCUCUCUCUCUCUCUCUCUCUCUCUCUCCUCUCUUCCCCCCUGCCUUUCUACAAUAAAGUUCUAAAACCAUAGACUGUCUCUGUUCAUCAAGGCCCGCUGCACUUAUUCUCGCCUGUGUAGGAAUCUCCCUCCCUCAGCCCUCUCUUCCAUAACCCUGGGGCUACAGGGUUGUUGCCAAAAGGCCUGGGUUGGGGGCUGCCCCUUGUCCACCCCAUUAGAGUGGGGUCAGUGGCUUAGAUGCACAGCUGGGGCCUAGUGGAAAGCAUCUGGCAGGCCUCCUGCAUCUGUCUGCCCAGAUCACAGGGGGAACUCUGGCCAGAUGCGGGCUAUCCUUCCUCUUCCUCUUUCCCCAUCACCCCUUUAUUUCCCACAUUAGAUCAGUAAUAUUUAGGACUUAAACAGAAGACUGUGAUGGAAUAUAUAGGUCAAUCCUCUCUGCUGCUGUUGCUCCAAAAUAUGUGUGGGAUCAAAGUGGAAUAGCAGAGACAACAUUUGCCAAUUUUCAAAGAAAUCAAUCAAAAAUUCAAAAAUAAUUCUUUGAACUGGAAGUCUGUGGAGGGCAUCAUCAGAACAAAGAAGGGAGAAGAAUAGAUUUCUUUAGAAUAAUUUCUUUAUAGUGAGCAGCAGUUGUUUCAGUGCGUGGCUUUUCAUUUUAAUGUCAUCAUAUUCAUGGCAGUGUCAAAAGCUCAGAAAGCAACUUCCUUUCUUAGGAAAAUGAGCAUCUGUGAUUUUUUUCUAGGAUAUAAGGAUUAAGAAUAAGGCAUAAUGGUGUUAGAAUAUAGUCCCAAGUGUGGUGGCAGGAGUGUAAAAGGCACUCUUGAAUUUCCAUCAGCUGGAAUUAAAUAGAAAAUUCUUAUACCAUAUAAUGCCAGAUAAAAUUCCAGUAUGGCUGUGGCAGGAAUAAUGAAAAAAAUAUCCCACUAGAGUAGUUAUUGGCAUUUAAUUAGCUGGAGGAAAAAACAGAGUGGGAUUUAUUCUGGGCUGCAUGCUGUAAGAUGCACAUUCCAGUAGAUGGUGCAAUAUUCAUGCACACAGAGAUGAUGUGAAUGAUGUCAGUUGUUAUUAGAAAGAACAUAAGAUAUUUGGAUGUAGAGGUGAUAGUGGUGUUAGAAGAAUUCUAGUGUAAAGAAUGUUUGAAUUUUUCUAAAGAUACAGUAUUAAAAUAUUUAUUGAAUAAAAUAUGUAAUGAAUAUCAAUUACACCUGAUGGAGAGUAACAGAAACUAUACUAAAGUGUUCAUCUUUAUGCAAUACCACAUAAGAACAUGCAAACACACAAGACGUGUUGAAAAUAUUUAUACCUUAAACAUUUCAUUUCUAAGUAACUGCCUCCAUAAUUAUUUCUAUAUAAUUAUGACAUUUUAAAAUACACUAUGCUAACAAUAUUUCUGGAAUAAAGCUUGAACACAUACCUUUUUACGAUUUUUUAAUUGUACUUUCUUAAUGGCAUUUUUAAUGGCACUCAAAUACACAUAAGUGUACCAUCCCAUGUUAGAAUUAAUUCAUAUUAGCAUGUAGGAUAAAAUAAAUGACACAGGACAUGUUUGGAGAAAACUUGAUUUUACACCCCAGUAUCAGAAACAAAAGGUUCCAGAUAGAAAUGGAGUUUUUGGUACAUACCCAGGGACUAGGUCCAAGAAUCCAGAUAGAUGCUGUGCCCCAGGUACCAUUGGCUCAUUUAGUUUGUUGUUAAGUAGACCAGAGUGAGAACUCAGGAAAAUUAGGUUUUUCCUUUUUUCUCCUAUUAUUUUCACCACUUUUGCUGCAAUAGAUAGGAAGCAAGGAGAGACAAAUGAAAACAAGGCAUAACAAAGCAAAAACUGCAUGGCCAUGAAAAAAUAAAAACAAACAAUAACAAUGGCA
rnacentral:lncRNA from 1 species